CCUCCUUUUCUUGGAGGGCGCCGGGCAUGCAGUCCAGGUCCCCGUUAUGUACAGAGACAGAGGGAGCGGGCUCCGGCCCCCUCGGCGUCAUGUCUUCGGUGCCGGCGGCUGCCCAUCCGCUGGUCCUAUCCUCAGACGCCGGGACAAGG
rnacentral:snoRNA from 15 species